CGUAUAUUUAAGUUGUUGCAGUUAAAAAGCUCGUAGUUGGAUUUCGGGUGGGUUCCAGCGGUCCGCCUACGGUGAGCACUGCUGUGGCCCUCCUUUUUGCCGGGGACGGUCUCCUGGGCUUUACUGUCCGGGAAUCGGAGUCGGCGAUGAUACUUUGAGUAAAUUAGAGUGUUCAAAGCAAGCCUACGCUCUGAAUACUUUAGCAUGGAAUAUCGCGAUAGGACUCUGGCCUAUCUCGUUGGUCUGUAGGACCGGAGUAAUGAUUAAGAGGGACAGUCGGGGG
rnacentral:rRNA from 1 species